UACGUAGGGUGCGAGCGUUGUCCGGAAUUACUGGGCGUAAAGAGCUCGUAGGUGGUUUGUCGCGUUGUUCGUGAAAACUCACAGCUCAACUGUGGGCGUGCGGGCGAUACGGGCAGACUGGAGUACUGCAGGGGAGACUGGAAUUCCUGGUGUAGCGGUGGAAUGCGCAGAUAUCAGGAGGAACACCGGUGGCGAAGGCGGGUCUCUGGGCCGAUACUGACGCUGAGGAGCGAAAGCGUGGGGGAGCGAACAGG
rnacentral:rRNA from 1 species